GAAUCAAAUUUUUCUAAACUUUUCUCGACACUAAUGCAAGAAAGAGAGAGAAAGAGGAGUACUUGGAAUCUAGAGAACAUGGCCAAGAGUCAGUAAGGUAUCAGCCAUUGAAGACAAUAAAGAUUUUACUGCCAUGGAGGGAUUACUGAGCAAAGAUAUGGCUGUAAGAAAUCAUCAUGGUGGUCUGGUCUGAAAGGAGAAGAAGAGGAAAGAGAAUGUCUACAAGUGUUGGACGAACAUCGGCAAGGAUUUUUCGCGAACACGUGUUCUUGAUGUUCACGAACCGCGCGUUCGUGGCAGGCCCCAUUUACUUCAUUGACAGGCGAACCUGAAAAACCUUCAGGUAAUAUUUGCAGCCACCAAAUACUUACGAGAAGUGCACAAAUACUCCCACAACAUGGACAGUGACAUACCAGAGGGGGA